AAACAGUCAGCCAUUGUUAGCAGCUAACUUUACCAAGACAACAUCAGCCAAGUCCUGUCUCCAACGCGAAUUAAAUACUACCUGGGGCAACUCCAGGUCCUGCUCCAUCCCUGCACUGAGACUGUGAAGAGAAGGGUCUGGACUGCAGACUGGAUCCUCUGUCUCUGAUGACCACCAGGACUGAGGUUGUUCAGUCCACCUGUCCACUGGUUGUGUUCUAUGUAGUGGUUGUGGUGGAGUCUCUGUCCCUUGCGGUUGGGUCCUGGUUCCGACUCGGGAAGGAAAAGCAAAGGCUCCUGAUCCAGCAUCCUGAUCUGGGGUCAGGGUUUGUGACCAGAAACUUCAUAGGUCCAGUCUCUCCCACCAGCAACACCGGACUGCAGACUGUAUACACAAAUGGGCAUUUCAAUGUAAAAAAAAAACAUGACUACUGACGUGUCAAAUUGAGUGUCAAAUGAAUGCUGAGAGUAUAUAUUUUUAAAUUAAGGCAUAUGCAUUUUUCAAACAUUUUCCAUUGUAAAAAAUGUCAAUGGGCAGAGGCUUUGAUUUCUGGUCAAACAGAUGGAAAGAGGGUCUUAGACAACAAAAUCUACCAGAAAAAAAGUGUUCAGGUUUUAGAAAUACAUCAAACCACAAUCAUGCUGAAGUAAAGACCCCUGCUCACUAACUUCAACACUUGUAUUUUGUUUUGGAUAACUUUUUCUGUACGUUUAAGAAACAUUGCCUUGAAAUUCCGUUUGCAAAACCCCACAUAUCUUUUGGAUAUUUUCUCAUUUCUUUCCCUGAUGAGGAGGAAGGAUAAUGAAAAUUCACAGAAGUUACAAGUAAAAGUAGACCUACCAUUAGUUAGCGUUUUUACUGAUAUCAAGUUUAUGAAUUACAGGAUUUAGACUUGUAAUUGUGUUUAACUACAAUUAAAUUGGCUACAAUUGGAAAUCACAGUAGUCACACACUACAGUUAGGUCUCCUGCUACUGUUCUUCCAUCCACUGGCAUACUGUUUAUUCUUUCUGUCAUCUGGUGGUCAAAGCAAGACUGUGAAAACAGUCUGGACCAACCCACCCUCUCCUCCCCUGUCUCCUACUACAUACCCUCUUUCCAUUUACUGUUACAAGCAUCCUCACCCAGUGAGCACCAAGCGAAACCGGACGUCCGUGGAUGUGGAAAACUAGUUGAAAUUUGGUCAGUCCGCCCUUCUGAAAUUGUGUUACCAAACAGUUGUGUUUCUGUAAAAUAUUCUGUGGAAAUUGUUCAAAUUAGUCCUUAUGCAUAGAGUUGUGUGUUUGUUCAACUUUGAAAUCAGUGUUUUUUGUUUUGUAACAUCUUGAAGUGGAAUUGCCCAAAUUGAACAGAAAUACAUAAAGGUUUAUAUAAGAAACAUGACAUUAUAAAAUGUUAACCACAGUCAAGCCCAUCUCUAACACUGAUUCAAGUACCCAACAAUAUUGGAGUUUAUUAAAAAAAUGUCCAUAUGC